rnacentral:misc_RNA from 1 species
GAUGAAGAACGUAGCGAAAUGCGAUAAGUAAUGUGAAUUGCAGAAUCCCGUGAACCAUCGAGUCUUUGAACGCAAGUUGCGCCCGAAGCCACUAGGCCGAGGGCACGCCUGCCUGGGCGUCACACGUCGUUGCCCCCCCCCAUCUACUCCUUCGGGAUUGCGGGGGGCGGAUGAUGGCCUCCCGUGCGCCUAGCCGCGCGGUUGGCAUAAAUACCAAGUCCUCGGCGACGCACGCCACGACAAUCGGUGGUUGCGAAACCUCGGUUGCCCGUCGUGUGCGUUCGUCGCGCAUCGAGGGCUCGAAAAAAUGCUCGGCUCCGGCUCGGCUUUCAACGCGACCCCAGGUCAGGCGGGGUUACCCGCUGAAUUUAAGCAUAUCAAUAAGCGGAGGA